GAGGUACAUGGGUUGCAGUUGGAUUUCUAAUUUUACUGUAGGCGGUUCGAUUCCGUUUGUGUCUUU
rnacentral:tRNA from 1 species